rnacentral:rRNA from 1 species
CCUACGGGUGGCAGCAGUGAGGAAUAUUGGUCAAUGGGCGCGAGCCUGAACCAGCCAAGUAGCGUGAAGGAUGACUGCCCUACGGGUUGUAAACUUCUUUUAUAAAGGAAUAAAGUGAGGCACGUGUGCCUUUUUGCAUGUACUUUAUGAAUAAGGAUCGGCUAACUCCGUGCCAGCAGCCGCGGUAAUACGGAGGAUCCGAGCGUUAUCCGGAUUUAUUGGGUUUAAAGGGUGCGUAGAUGGUUUUUUAAGUCAGUGGUGAAAGUUUGCGGCUCAACCAUAAAAUUGCAAUUGAAGCUGGCAGUCUUGAGUACAGUUGAGGUAGGCGGAAUUCGUGGUGUAGCGGCGAAAUGCUUAGAUAUCACGAAGAACUCCGAUUGCGAAGGCAGCUUACUAAGCUGCCACUGACAUUGAUGCUCGAAAGUGUGGGUAUCAAACAGGAUUAGAUACCCCGGUAGUC